CCUCCCGUUCUGUUGCACUUAAGUCCAGAUUAGCUCUGACCAUUCCCUCACGCAAGCAGAGAGCGACACAACACCACGGUGCCCAAGACCAUAGAAACUGCCACAGAGGUGGGGGCAGAGAUCGUCUUCAAGGUUGCUGUCAUCUGGAAUUUUAUGUCCUUCAUUUUCUUUCACUCUGUAUGCCUGUCACAUCGGCUUAACUACCAGAGAAGACCCCGUCUGCCUUAAAGCCUGCCUGCUUUCUUCCAGCCUUAUUAGCUGAUGUAAAGAAAGAAGAUACGACUUCCUACACUCCUGGGUAGUACUCUGCCUGUCAUCUUGGAGAUCAGAAAGACUGCAGAGCUUUCUGGGAAGAAUCCUUCUUUUGUUUUUAUGUCUGCACUCCAAGCCCUGUAAUUAAUGCUGCACAAGCACAGAUAUGCAUAACUCUUACAAGUGACUAUUUUUCAGUAUCGAUGCCAAAAAUGCAACCUAUUGGGAUUUGUGUUUUUAAGCCGCAUAGCAGAGGCUGAUCAGCACUGUGUCCGCAGUCUGGAGGCAAACGCCUGCGCUUAUACAGGCAAAUUACAGGUCUGGAUGAACAGCGAGAACAAGCUCUUCAUUCCUGCAGGAUUUUCUUUACUGCCAGGGCUGGUUCUAUAAAAUACGACCUUCAAAUGGAGGGGAGGCCUAAUCCUAUUCUGAGUUACGCGUGCCUAAUUUCAAAGCUUUAUGCUUGGGCACUAUCCACAUUGAGACAGAUACCGCAUGUUGCUCACUCUUCCUCCUCUUCACACGCUUUUAUCGCUGAGAUGCAGUUCUACAAAAUUGCUUUAGAAAGCAGUAGUUUGAGAGACUGUAUCCCCGUUUCCUCCAGUAAAGCGUAGCCGUAUGGACAUUACAAACACUAUCAUUUCUUUUUGUCUUUCCUCUUCUUGGAAACGUUGGUUUCUAAUGGGUUAAAAAUCUGCUGUUAAGCACUGGCCAUUUUAAGGUGUAUUCUUCUCCCCUGCUGAUUUGCCCUCUGACCUUCUGGGGGCCAGGGCGGCUGCAGACUUCAUUUUUACUCUAUUUCCUGGUCUCUCUCCUGGCUGUGCACUCAAUGUUUCCACAGCAGAUUAAUGACAGCUAAUAAUAUCUGAUAUAUCUGGACAUUGCCACAUAAUGAGUUGCAGUCCCACUGGGUCCCCGAAGUGUCACUACUAACAAAUUCACCAGAGCUGCACAUAAUUAGCAUGUAAAGGGAGUGAUCAUGCAGUAAAUCUGGAGGGGAAGAUGGAUAGCCCAUGAGAAAAAAAAUAUAAGGAAAAAAUACUGUUCUUAACACUCAUUGGUAAAUGUAUGUUUCUCGCCAUGAAUAUUUUCUUGAUAACAAACUGUGGACAGGUUACCUUUACAGUAACAUUAUUCCUUCCACGGCUGAUAGGCAGAAUUUCAUUAUGCCACUGCUAAUGUUACAAUAUUUCUGCAAAAUGUCACCAUAUGUAAAUUAGAAGAGGUUAGGGUUUCUGUCUUAGUUUUCUUUCAAGAUGCACUGUCCCUUUCUGCUAUGGCCUAAUUGCCCCUUCUACUAGUUUACAGACAUGCUAACAUUGACCCAACCUCGCAAAAUACAGUCUGCACUGGAGGAUCUUCCUUCUCCACUAGCUAAAUCAGAAUGAAGAAACUCAACAUGUGACGACAGAGGGAGCAAAGACCCAAGAGUAGAAAGUAGCUUACUUGAUGAGGUUUUAUCCAAAGUACCAUCUUUCCUGACACAUCAGAAAAUACCAAAAAAAGAAAAACGGGGUGCACGGACAAUGUGAGUUACCUGACCUGAUCUGAACACGGGUCUCUACCUUGCGACCACCUGGCUGCCCAUCACACACUAAGUGCUGCCUGCAGUCUGGAUCUGUGCAGGCAAAGAGGCUUUCCCAGGAGAAGGAGGUUGACAAGGAGCAGAUGAAUUGUCCUGAUGGGCUGUAUUCACCCUGAAGAGCCCUGAACUGGGCAUCUCUGCUCUAUUUUAAGUCAUUCAUUCCUCCUCAUUAGAAACCAUUGCUCACCAAUGCUAAAGACUUCAUUUUGGUUUGAGGCUGUGUCAUUUACAGGCCUUUUGCUGCUUUGACAUCUGGGUGGAAACGCUUGCAUUUACAUGACUCCCAGCUCUGAGGUUUAUUUGGGCAACUGGCCAAAACGUGGUUAAUUCAAAGUGUAAGGUUUUUUUAAAAAUUAUUAUUAUUAUUUUGCUGAACAGAGAGGCCUUCGGCCCUGAAGGCUUCAGCCUUUAAAUUGUUCUUGUUCAUAAGGCGCUGCUUCUGCCCUUUGAGAGGGAAAAAAGUUAACAAGGAAGCCUCACUUCCAAAACCAAACCCAAAUCCCCAAAAAACAAACAAAAAGUUCUGUAUAUAACACAUAAAUUUUCCCAUGAUAAAUAAUUAUUUAGAGAUGUGAAAAAUUCAUAAGGGCUUACUCUAAUCUCUGUAGCCGCCUUCUGCAGAGCAAGAGCUCAGCCAGGAGAGCCUUGUGAUCCUCAGGCUGAGCAAGCACGAGCUGACUCAGAACCAAUUUUAUAUCAAAGGCAGAAAUGGCACAGAGCUCGGGUACCAGCCCCUGUUUGUGAUGCUCAUGAGCACUAUCAAUAAACCUCAGCACUUUUAAGAGUGUGAACUGCUACUCAGCAGUGCAGGGAAACACCCUGGAAGUAGCAGCUGCUCCUGUCCACUAUUGCAUUCCUCUUCCUGUCAUUAGCCAAGUGCUCAUGAGCCCCUCGGAUCAGCUCGGAAGCUCUGAAAAUUUCUGUAUUCGCAACUCAUACUGAAUUUCAUGCUGGCUCAUGUUCUGUUGGAGAAUCACCUUUUGGAGUCACGUGACUUUAGCUUUUAUCCUUUUUUUUAAAAAG